rnacentral:lncRNA from 1 species
UUAACAUUAUCGUGCAUAAAGACUGAGAUUCACAAGUUCGGCUCAGGUUCCAAUAGAGUGUGUGGAUUCCCCCCUCUUAACCGACAAUUGUCAAUGGACACAAAAAAAGAGCUCAAUUAACCUGUAACCUGCGAAUUAACGGUUAACUAGCAAAGUUAAUUCGAGCUUGGUCACUUAAACGGAAUCAACGUAGAAAAUCCAGAUGAUAGGUAUUUGUUAAAUCCAUAGAGUUUAACUUGGCCAAGGAUAGAAAACUAUUUGAAACCCACCCCGCUCACAGAUUUUGGGCUCUCGAGAUUUUAUCUCUCUCUGGUUUAUUUUGCUCUCUCUCACUCCUCCCCUAUAAUCCCUCACACAGAGCUCUAUUCAAUAGCCAUUGAAGCUUUAUCAUUGAAGCUUCAAGGUGCUGAGCUUAACCCCACUCUCAUUCUGAUUCACCCCUCACAUAAAGAGACAUCGACGGAGUACUAAUCACCAGGAGUAAAAUAAGAAGAUUGAGGAAGAAGAGUAACAAGAAGCAAAGGAAGGAAGCAUAAAAUGAAGAGAACGUCACUUAAUCCGAUUCUUUCGACGCCUUCGUCUCCGAUCCGCUCCGGUAGGUGCUUUCCGCUUCCAUCUUUUUCCUUUUGAUACCAGUUUGUUGUUUGAGUAUGGAGGAUUGUUAACCCGUUAAUUUCAGAUCGAGGUGAGGUUUGAACACGUUUUAAUUUGAGAGAUUAGAUUUAGGGUUCGUAGUUAUCUCUCAUCGAUUUGAGAAAUCAAGGAAGAAUCUGAGAGACCUGUUCACGGAUUCAAACUCAGUGUGUCGAAUCGGGUCGAACAAGGUUUGUAGCUGUAUUUUUGGAAUAACUCCGGC